GUGAUGGCAGCUGGCACCAGUCGCGAUUCCUGUUUCAAACCCAGGACACUCAGCAGCUUCCCAUCGUGGACAUUCAAGGCCUCCAUCCCUCACGUCCAGGAGACCAGCGGCAUGUGGAAGUGGGUCCUGUUUGCUUCCUGUGAAAUCACUGAAGGACUUGAAACGGUCCUGAUCCUCAAAUCAGAGCAGCGGCGAUCCGAGUGAUGGCAGUGAUCCUGGGACGUCCCGAAGAACAAGCCCGCCUCCAACCCGAGUGUUUUGAGAGACUGCUGUUGUGUUUUAUCUGUUGUGGUUCAGUAUGUCAAAAAGUCUCGGGUGAAGUCCUUGCGCAUCGUGCGUUUGAUCUCGAAUCAUUGCUAGAUAAACUGUCAGACAAGGUUGAUCUUGUUAGCAAACUAUGAAAAAGCCGACCUGGACUCUUUAGACGGUGCUCUACCUCCUUCACGUACAGGUGCUCGCGUUCAGGUGCAUCCGGCCCAAAACAAACUCUAUGCAGGUACACAAAUGCAAACUCCGUUUGGUGCAUCAUUGUGUUUUGCAAUUUGUCUUCUACAGUCAGUUUUUCUUUUAAAUCAUGGUGCAGUUUAAAGGCAGUCUUGCUAAGCAAGUUAGAUAAAGUUAGAAUAGUUAAUCCGUAGACGAUUUUUAUAAGAACAUUAGCUGUUUCCCUUCACGUGUUUUUAAAGGAAUUUUGGAAUAUUGCAUAAAAACGCCAACCAAUAAGUGCAUAUAAUCUUAAAAAGUGUCAAGAUGUGCAUAUAAUCUUUAACAUUUUGAUGUAAAUGCCAGUAAGUGCAUGGAAAUUGUAAAAAUGGUGUUAUCAUAUGAAACACGCUGAAUAGAAACACCAAGAAGUGCAUAACAUUUUUAAAAUUGGGGUUUUGCAUAAAAGCACUGGAUGGAAAUUGCAAAAAUGCAUAAAAUCUUAAAAGAAAUUGGGGUUUCACAUU